GACCCAGGUGCCGCUUCCUCUCGCCGCCGAGGGUCAGGAGCCCGUGAGCGCGACCCUCCCCUGGCCCGGCCUGGCCCGGCCUGGCCAGUCCCCGCGGUCUCUGCCCGGGCUGACGCCCAGGACUGUGGUCGACGAGAAGCCCCAACAGCAUGUCGUGGCCCCUCGGCCUCGGCUUUCAAAUGCAAGUCUGACAUAAAAGACAGAUCACAGCAUCACCAACAGCAAUGGCUAAGAUGUACAGUGUAUACACUUCCCAAGACCUUCACAGGCAUCCUUUCCUGCAAGCCUGGUCACCACCCUCUGCUGCAGGCUCCCUUCCCAUCCCACUGAGCCUGUGUGCCUCUGGCUCAUACAGAGCCAGUGUGCCUCUGGCCGGCCUGAGUAGGGAGAAUGCAGUGGCCUUUCCUGAACCCUUGAGUUCUCACGGAGCCCUCUCUGGCUAGGGAGGAGGAGAAGCCUUCUAGGGAAUGAGGAGAAGCAGCCCCCUGCAUCCUGCUCCUGCACUUUUCCUUCCUUCCAGCAUCCUUCGCCACUGCAUCUCCACCCUUUGUGCCCAUAAACUGUGGGUCCUGUUGUCUCUGGGCCACUUUGGCCUCCCCUUCCUCAGCACAUCUCCUGGGGAAGCACGGCUAUCUGCCUUGGGAUGUAGCCACGAACCUCCUCCUUGGAGCCAAUCCUCCUGAAUGUUUGAACUGAGCUUCCAGGCAGCAGAAUGUUCCCUCCUGCUUCCUGCCGCCCCUGCGGUCCUGCCCACUCCC
rnacentral:sRNA from 1 species